rnacentral:lncRNA from 1 species
CAGGAGGCGGCGCAUACGGGGCACAGGAGCGGCUGGUGGGGCUGUGUCCAGAUCGCGCGGGGCGUCGAGCUCAGAGUCCGAUGCUCGGCGCGGGCACGCGUAGGUGUGCGCACGGUGGCGAAGUCCCAGCCCGGCGUUGCCGGGGUGGCCGAGGAAGAGCGACUCCUUCCGGCGCGUGUGCGGGCUCUCGAGCAGCGCGCAGAAGCCGUAAACGGUGCGCGCGCGGGGCAGGUGCGGCAGCGAGAGCGCAGCCUGGGAGCGCGGGUCCCAGUCGGUAAGGCCCGCGCAGUCGUCGUCACUGUCCUCACGGUCGUCAGGGAUGCGCGGCCACAGGUCCGGUUCGGCUGCGCAGCGCCAAGGCAGUGCGGCAGCGGCAAGCGGUGAUUCGAGAGCGCCGGGGACCUGCAGCCGCGGGGGGAUGCAGAACUCUGGUAUUCGGCCCGGGGUGAGCACGUUGGAGAAGGCAGGCUCAGGAGUGGAGGAGCGGAGUCGACCGAGAAGCCUCAUCCUUCUAGCUUAUGUCCGAGAGUGGCGGAUACACGAGCGUCUGCAACACAGAGAAAAACUGUUGAAUUUGGGCUCCUGAAGUCCAGUGGAUCCUUUCUUUGACCCUCUGAAAGCACCCACAAAUCUAGGGCUUCUAGUCAGCACGAAUCAACCUUUGGAGCACCCUCAUGUUAACUAAAACUAUAUAUAUGAAUAUAUAGAAAUCAGACCUUUUCUUCUUCAGUCUCGUUGGGUCGGAUUAGUCGCAGGAACAAAGCAGGUGACGUGUAGCUCACAGGUAGGGCUCCACCUUCAGCACUGCAGCUGUGACAGUGGCGCUCCGGCCUUUUACCUUAGCGGGAGUCACGCCCAGGUGCCAAGAGGCCAAUCCGAAGAGGUAGCAGACAGAGCCCGCCUUUCAGCCGUCCCUUCCCACUAAAUCUUCCGUUGCUCGCUGUAAAGGUGUCUCAGGAGCUGGCUCUGGGACUUACUUUGGCUGUCCCUUAGCUGGAGCGCCAUUUACAGGUGCAGCAGAUGAGUAAAGGGCAUCCCGUCACCAUGCGAAAGAGAAUUUGGUAGUUCAAAGUGUUUGUGGCCUCUCAGAGAAGGAUGCAUACCUGUUUCCAAGUACAGACUAAACUUGGCAUGUCCGUUUAGGAUGGGGUUAUGUGCAAAACGUUUUUGCGAAAUUGAAAACGCAUUAGUCAGCCCACGUUUAACAUAUCCAGACGGCUUGGAUUCGACACUGGACUAAAAGGUUGGAGUAGUUCUGCAUUCACUUUAAUUCAAAAAUCGUAGAUCCUAAGUCCCAGGGUAGCACCUUAUUUAGCCUCUGUCUCCCUCUGCUGGAUUAGCCUCUGUCUCCCUCUGCUGGACUGUCCUUGAUAUCACCGUGGUCUGGGCUACCAGGUGCCCUAAGUACUGGUGACUUGGGUAAAUAAAUAAAGUGCAAAAUCUU